rnacentral:tRNA from 1 species
AAUUUUUUAGUUUAAAUUUGAAAAAUAUUUGGUUGUGGUCUAAAAGAUUUUUAAAAAUUU